UGGGGAAUAUUGCACAAUGGGCGCAAGCCUGAUGCAGCCAUGCCGCGUGUAUGAAGAAGGCCUUCGGGUUGUAAAGUACUUUCAGCGAGGAGGAAGGCGUUGUGGUUAAUAACCGCAGCGAUUGACGUUACUCGCAGAAGAAGCACCGGCUAACUCCGUGCCAGCAGCCGCGGUAAUACGGAGGGUGCAAGCGUUAAGCGGAAUUACUGGGCGUAAAGCGCACGCAGGCGGUCUGUCAAGUCGGAUGUGAAAUCCCCGGGCUCAACCUGGGAACUGCAUCCGAAACUGGCAGGCUAGAGUCUUGUAGAGGGGGGUAGAAUUCCAGGUGUAGCGGUGAAAUGCGUAGAGAUCUGGAGGAAUACCGGUGGCGAAGGCGGCCCCCUGGACAAAGACUGACGCUCAGGUGCGAAAGCGUGGGGAGCAAACA
rnacentral:rRNA from 1 species